rnacentral:rasiRNA from 1 species
UCCUUGGAAAAUUGUGCCCCAGAG